CAUUGAUGUCCAAUUGAAUGCCACUGAGCGGUCCUUCGGGUUAUGAACUCCUUGUGGGCAAGCGAGCGCAUUUCGAUUCGGCCUUACCGAGGCGCUGUUACAAUGCAUGCGCGAGCUUGCGCGGACAAGGAACGCACGAAAAAGUGUUUU
rnacentral:lncRNA from 1 species